rnacentral:rRNA from 1 species
CCCUUAGAUGUUCUGGGCAGCACGCGCGCCACAAUGGUCUUCGCAAACGGAUGCAUUCUCGAAGGAGAAUGCCAAUCUUGGAAUCUAUGCCUUGGUCGGGACAGUUGCUUGCAAUUUUUCGACUCGAACCAGGAAUUCCUUGUAAUCGUGAUUCAUCACAUCACGAUGAAUACGUCCCUGCCCUUUGUACACACCGCCCGUCGCUCCUACCGAUCGAAGAGUUAGGUGAAUUGUUUUGAUCGAUAAGAUUUGACUAUGGUCAACUCUCGUUGUGAAAUUCUGUGAAUCUGACUGUUUAGAGGAAGGAAAAGUCGUAACA